rnacentral:lncRNA from 1 species
AAAAACAUGGGACACCAAUUGUCAUACAUAAAAAGUAAACAAUUAUCCCAUGAUCAAAAUAAUUAUAUUUUAACCAUGGGACCAAAAUAAGUCCCACACCAAUGCUCAUGCUCUAAGGGCAUGGGCAUCCAUGCGACAGGUAUUUAUCCCAUUUUUUUUUUCUUUUUUUUUAAGAUUCUUUUUUUAAAAAAGUAACCAAUCGCGGGCCGCCACGUGGCAGUGGGGCCCGCGAAAGAGGCAGGGACCGUCCCGAACGACCCACAAUUUUUUAGUUUUAUUUUAUUUUAUUUUUUUAACAAAAAUGCUGGGGGACUGAGACUGGGACCAGGGAUGCCCAUGGUCUAAGGAACACUAGGUUGAGGAACUUUCACUGUUUUUUUAGAAUUUUCUUGGUAAAAAUUGUAAAUGGAUUCUAAUGAUUCCUCUUACAGGGAUGAGCGUUUGGCAUGUACUCUGUGGGGG